rnacentral:rRNA from 1 species
AUUGAACGCUGGCGGCAGGCUUAACACAUGCAAGUCGAACGGUAGCAGGAGGAAGCUUGCUUUCUUGCUGACGAGUGGCGGACGGGUGAGUAAUGCUUGGGAAUCUGGCUUAUGGAGGGGGAUAACUACGGGAAACUGUAGCUAAUACCGCGUAGUAUCGGAAGAUGAAAGUGCGGGACCGUAAGGCCGCAUGCCAUGAGAUGAGCCCAAGUGGGAUUAGGUAGUUGGUGGGGUAAAGGCCUACCAAGCCUGCGAUCUCUAGCUGGUCUGAGAGGAUGGCCAGCCACACUGGAACUGAGACACGGUCCAGACUCCUACGGGAGGCAGCAGUGGGGAAUAUUGCGCAAUGGGGGAAACCCUGACGCAGCCAUGCCGCGUGAAUGAAGAAGGCCUUCGGGUUGUAAAGUUCUUUCGGUAUUGAGGAAGGUUGAUGUGUUAAUAGUACAUCAAAUUGACGUUAAAUACAGAAGAAGCACCGGCUAACUCCGUGCCAGCAGCCGCGGUAAUACGGAGGGUGCGAGCGUUAAUCGGAAUAACUGGGCGUAAAGGGCACGCAGGCGGUUAUUUAAGUGAGGUGUGAAAGCCCCGGGCUUAACCUGGGAAUUGCAUUUCAGACCGGGUAACUAGAGUACUUUAGGGAGGGGUAGAAUUCCACGUGUAGCGGUGAAAUGCGUAGAGAUGUGGAGGAAUACCGAAGGCGAAGGCAGCCCCUUGGGAAUGUACUGACGCUCAUGUGCGAAAGCGUGGGGAGCAAACAGG